UACGUAGGGGGGCAAGCGUUGUCCGGAAUCAUUGGGCGUAAAGAGCGCGUAGGCGGUCCGGUAAGUCGGUUGUGAAAAACUGGGGGGCUCAACCCUCAGAGGCCGACCGAUACUGCCGGGCUAGAGUCCGGAAGAGGCGAGUGGAAUUCCUGGUGUAGCGGUGAAAUGCGCAGAUAUCAGGAGGAACACCAAUGGCGAAGGCAGCUCGCUGGGACGGUACUGACGCUGAGGCGCGAAAGCGUGGGGAGCAAACAGG
rnacentral:rRNA from 1 species